rnacentral:rRNA from 1 species
UACGAAGGGGGCUAGCGUUGCUCGGAAUGACUGGGCGUAAAGGGCGCGUAGGCGGUUUUCGCAGUCGGAUGUGAAAUUCCUGGGCUUAACCUGGGGGCUGCAUCCGAGACGCGGGGACUAGAGUGAGGAAGAGGGUCGUGGAAUUCCCAGUGUAGAGGUGAAAUUCGUAGAUAUUGGGAAGAACACCGGUGGCGAAUGCGGCGACCUGGUCCUUUACUGACGCUGAGGCGCGAAAGCGUGGGGAGCAAACAGG